GCCAGAGGAAACUCUGGUGGAGCCUCGCAGCGGUUCCUGACGUGCAAAUCGAUCGUCAAAUCUGCGCAUGGGGGCGAAAGCACGUACCAUAUUCUCUAUACCUAUCCUUCUACGACGACACAUAUACUAACAGCUAUGCUUUUAGGACUUAUCGAACCAUGAAACCAGCGGUAAAUAUAUAUCUUACUAGGUGGUUAAGAGGUCCCCCGAAGAAGGGGGGCCUAGGUUGUGGGAGGUGCUACCCGGGAGCUACCCUGUAGCUACCCUGGAGCUACCCUGUAGACCGACAUUGCUAAAUUGCGGGGACAUCCUAUCUACACAAGGCCGCGGGCUACCGCCUCGUGCUGAAAAGCAUGCGGGCACCAAGAAUAAUGCUCUUGGGUAUGGUAAGAACGCCCGCGGUACCGGACUACCCGCAGCCAACCCCGCGCCAGGGGAGAGUUCACUGACUAAAUAGCGAUGGGUUGGCAUGGAUUUGCCAGCUUAAGAUAUAGUCGAUUUGGCACCUGAAAAGG
rnacentral:rRNA from 1 species